UCCGCGGUGGGGGGCUGAGACGCGCGAUCUCUCUUGCGGACGCCCAGACCGCGCCGAGCCACUGGCGAGACCGACCUGCUCCAGU
rnacentral:ncRNA from 1 species